rnacentral:lncRNA from 1 species
GAAAAUAAACAAUUCCACAAAUUGAUAUUCAAUAAAAUCAAUCAUUUAAUAUGAAAUCACCGCAUGCUUAUAAUUUAAAACGAACGUCCACUCACAACUUUAGGCCUAAGCCUGACGUCAAUCCGAAGUCUCUCCAAUUCGAGCCUCCUCACGUCCUGUUCCAAAUAUAAAAUUAAUUUCCCAACUAAAAAUCCAAAUAUUUAUACAACAUAGACAAAAAUUAAACGUGAGCCAUAUCCAUGCUUAUCAUUGCCUAACUUCAAUAUUCCUAAUUCAAAAUGCUCCAAACUUCACCGAAAAAUAAUGGCAGCCUUAACACAAUCUUCACAGAUUAUACGACUUUAAUCCAAUGACCGAAUUCUACCUUAAUUAACCGCCAAAAAUACCAAACUUCAGAAAUUCACAAACCUCUCCAAAACUCAUCCAAAAAUUCCAUAAUUCAUAUCAAAAUACUCCUCUUAAUAAUCCACAUUUAAAACCACAAAAAUCUCCUACACAUUGGCGGCGCCGGCGCCGGCUCCGCCAGCAGCGGCGGCCGGAGGCCGAUUCCGGCGACCUCCAAAUCCUACCAAAUUUUAACAGUAGCUUCCUCUCCACUCCCUCUACAACUUUCCUAACUAGCACAAACCCAAAAUCCAAGCCUAACUAGGUCAAAUGAGCAAAAACAUCUAAAACACCCUAGAACUUCCACCUCUAAUUUCUCCUUACCUGAAGCGAACCGGAGUCAGCCCUUUUAGGGCAAGGUAGCUGGGUUGGAGACCUUCAAAACCGUACCAAGCUUGCCCAGAUUGGUGGCCAGAGGAGGGAGUUCCGGUGAAGUGAAGCUUUAGACAGUCGGACCUUUUGGGGGAGAGCGCUCCUUCACGGCGGAGCUAGGGAAGCUGCUACCGGUCCAGGGAGGUAGCUGGGAUGAUGGCCGACCGAAUGGGACCGGUGCGGCAGCGAACGGUGGCCGGACGGCGGCUGGAGGAUGGCCGGAAAACUGGGCAGCGGGAGGAGCUCGGGGGAGAG